GAGUUUUGAUCCUGGCUCAGGAUGAACGCUAGCUACAGGCUUAACACAUGCAAGUCGAGGGGAAACGACAUCGAAAGCUUGCUUUUGAUGGGCGUCGACCGGCGCACGGGUGAGUAACGCGUAUCCAACCUGCCCACCGCUUGGGGAUAACCUUGCGAAAGUAAGACUAAUACCCCAAUGAUAUCUCUAGAAGACAUCUGAAAGAGAUUAAAGAUUUAUCGGUGAUGGAUGGGGAUGCGUCUGAUUAGCUUGUUGGCGGGGUAACGGCCCACCAAGGCGACGAUCAGUAGGGGUUCUGAGAGGAACGGUCCCCCACAUUGGAACUGAGACACGGUCCAAACUCCGUACGGGAGGCAGCA
rnacentral:rRNA from 1 species